rnacentral:rRNA from 1 species
AAAAUACAAGGCUGGUCGGAAAAAUUAUUGGCGUGUGCAGGUCGAGAGACUCUUCUCAAAUCUGUCGUUCAAUCAAUUCCUACUUAUCCAAUGAGUACAUUCCUACUGACCAAAAAAGUUUGUAAGAGUCUUACUUCACCAAUGGCCAAAUAUUUUUGGAGUAGCUCUCUUGACAAGAAAUCAUUGCAUUGGGUGUCCUGAAAGGAGCUAGCUACACCCAAGUGCAAGGGCGGGAUGGGGUUCAGAGACCCGCAACUUUUCAAUCUUGCUAUGCUGGGCAAACACGGAUGGCGAUUCCUCACCAACCCGAGUUCCCUAUGUGCAAGUUCUGAAGGGUCGCUACUUCCCCGACACUGA